rnacentral:lncRNA from 1 species
CUGGGCUGAUCCCGAACUCCUGGGCUCAAGCAGUCCUCCCACCUUGGCUUCUCAAAGUGCUGGGGUUACAGGCAUGAGCCACUGCACCCAGCCAAAAGCAGAAAUUUUUUAGACUGGAUUUAAAAAACAAGAUCGAACUAUAUGCUCUCUUGAGAUGGAGUCUUGCUCUGUUGCCCAGGCUGGAGUGCAGUGGCAUGAUCUUGGCUCACUGCAACCUCUGCCUCCCAGGUUCAAGCGAUUCUCCUGCCUCAGCCUCCUGAGUCGCUGGGAUUACAGGUGGGCGCCACCACGCCUGGCUAAUUUUUUUGUAUUUUUAGUAGAGACAGGGUUUCACCAUGUUGGUCAGGCUGGUCUCAAACUCCUGACCUCAUGAUCUGCCCACCUCGGCCUCCCAAAGUGCUGGGAUUACAGGCGUGAGCCACCGCACCAGGCCCUGGGCUCGAGCAAUCCUCCUG